AAUCAACGCUGGCGGCGUGCCUAACACAUGCAAGUCGCACGAGAAAGGGUAGCAAUACCUGAGUAAAGUGGCGCACGGGUGAGUAACACGUGAAUAAUCUACCUCCGAGUGGGAAUAACUGAGAGAAAUCUUAGCUAAUACCGCAUAACACUUACGAGUCAAAGCAGCAAUGCGCUUGGAGAGGAGUUCGCGGCAGAUUAGUUAGUUGGCAGGGUAANGGCCUACCAAGACGAUGAUCUGUAUCCGGCCUGAGAGGGCGCACGGACACACUGGAACUGAACACGGUCCAGACUCCUACGGGAGGCAGCAGUGGGGAAUUUUGGCAAUGGGCGAAAGCCUGACCCAGCAACGCCGCGUGAAGGAUGAAGCUUUUCGGA
rnacentral:rRNA from 1 species